CAGCCGCCGCGGUAAUACAGAGGGUGCGAGCGUUAAUCGGAUUUACUGGGCGUAAAGCGUGCGUAGGCGGCUUCUUAAGUCGGAUGUGAAAUCCCUGAGCUUAACUUAGGAAUUGCAUUCGAUACUGGGAAGCUAGAGUAUGGGAGAGGAUGGUAGAAUUCCAGGUGUAGCGGUGAAAUGCGUAGAGAUCUGGAGGAAUACCGAUGGCGAAGGCAGCCAUCUGGCCUAACACUGACGCUGAGGUACGAAAGCAUGGGGAGCAAACAGGAUUAGAUACCCCGGUAGUCCCUGUCUCUUAUAC
rnacentral:rRNA from 1 species